rnacentral:rRNA from 1 species
CACUCCUACGGGAGGCAGCAGUGGGGAAUAUUGCACAAUGGGCGCAAGCCUGAUGCAGCCAUGCCGCGUGUAUGAAGAAGGCCUUCGGGUUGUAAAGUACUUUCAGCGGGGAGGAAGGCAAUACGGUUAAUAUCCGUGUUGAUUGACGUUACCCGCAGAAGAAGCACCGGCUAACUCCGUGCCAGCAGCCGCGGUAAUACGGAGGGUGCAAGCGUUAAUCGGAAUUACUGGGCGUAAAGCGCACGCAGGCGGUCUGUCAAGUCGGAUGUGAAAUCCCCGGGCUCAACCUGGGAACUGCAUUCGAAACUGGCAGGCUUGAGUCUUGUAGAGGGGGGUAGAAUUCCAGGUGUAGCGGUGAAAUGCGUAGAGAUCUGGAGGAAUACCGGUGGCGAAGGCGGCCCCCUGGACAAAGACUGACGCUCAGGUGCGAAAGCGUGGGGAGCAAACAGGAUUAGAAACCCCUGUAGUCCCA